UUAUGCCCGUGCUGUGCCUCUAGCAGCAAAGACGAGCGGUGUGGGGUUUUGGAUGCAUCUACACUUCUCGUCGGGGGAGAAAGGGAAGUCUUUGGAAUUUUGGAGAAAAGGGGUCAACUACCAGUUUGCGCAGCUAAAAUAAAUUAGCGUCCAGUGCACCGUUCCUAACAAUGAUCUAGAAAAGUUUCCAUCAAGAGUGAAGAGCAAUUGUGUUUGACUUAAAGGAACAAUGGUGACUCGUUUGUGAGCUGCAUAUGGCAAAGAAGAAAGCCAGAAUCCUUUGUAAAUAUUUCAAAUUUAAAGAAAUUGUUGCUUAUGUACAUCCUAAAAUUUUUGAAUUCCAUUCUACUAAAAUGUAUUAAUUUCGUAUGACCUUUAUGUGCAAAGGAAAUUGUACCUAUGCUUUGAAUGUCUAAUUACAAUAACUAAUUUCAGACAGCUUUGUGUAUUUGAAAAUAUCUGUAUAUACAUGUUAUAUAUAUAAUAAAGGUCUAUAUUCCAAACAAAA